rnacentral:rRNA from 1 species
UGGGGAAUAUUGCACAAUGGGCGCAAGCCUGAUGCAGCAACGCCGCGUGAACGAUGAAGGUCUUCGGAUCGUAAAGUUCUGUUGCAGGGGAAGAUAAUGACGGUACCCUGUGAGGAAGCCCCGGCUAACUACGUGCCAGCAGCCGCGGUAAUACGUAGGGGGCUAGCGUUAUCCGGAUUUACUGGGCGUAAAGGGUGCGUAGGUGGUCUUUCAAGUCGGUGGUUAAAGGCUACGGCUCAACCGUAGUUAGCCUCCGAAACUGGAAGACUUGAGUGCAGGAGAGGAAAGUGGAAUUCCCAGUGUAGCGGUGAAAUGCGUAGAUAUAUGGAGGAACACCGGUGGCGAAAGCGGCUCUCUGGUCUGUAACUGACGCUGAGGCUCGAAAGCGUGGGGAGCGAACAGG